AUACAUUUUAUAUUUGCAUAUAAAUGACCUUCUCCUCAAUUACACAUUUUCAGAGAUGAUUAUAGUAAUUGGUCCUGAGCUUCAAGCAAGCAAACGGAAUGGCCAGUUUCAAAACAGAUUUUCUGGUUUCUAGUCCAGUGCUCUUUCUUCUUACCCAGAUAGACUCCCAUCUGAACAUAGCUUUGUCUGGAAAGUCUGGGCACUUGUAAAGCCAUGUGUCACUCAAUAAUAAAUCCACUUUGAAAAUUCACCUAUCCUUAUGAUGAGUUUAAUUAAGUUUUGCAUUUCUAGACUUUUAUUUCAAUUUUAUUUUUCAUUUAAAAAUAAUUACUUAGAGAUGUUGUAUUUAAGCUGUUUAUGUCAAUUAAUACAAAUGUUGUUCUGUAUAUUUUAGGCAGAAACAAUUGAGCCAUUGGCAAGGGGCAUGAAAUUGAGUUCUACAUUUUCUGACCUAGUAGCAGUGACAUAUUUUUAUUAAUAGUCUUUCUGGCAAGAAUGAGACCUAUAGUCAAUGGCCAAGGGACAUGAGGAAGCAAAAAAGCAGGUCGUCCAUAAAUUUGGUCUUAUGCCACAAGCGUAUUAAAACCAAAAGGGAAUUUGUCCACAAAGACUGAUUCUCUUGUUCUACAGUUGAGAAGACUAUAGUUGGAAAACAUAAAGAGGGUUGCUACAAGUCACAGUUUAGUGGAUGUCGGAACCACUACUGGAACCCAGCUCUUGGUUAAGGAGUCCAUAUCUGUUUGUCCUCAUCCCUCAGUGCUGCUCUGAAAUCGGUGAAGUUUUGUGCUUAUAGUCAAACUAUGGUUUUGAUGCCAUUGAAGAAUAAACAUUUGUUGAGAAUGAAUAAGGAUGUUUCACAAGAAGCUUCAAUAAUUCAUCUAUUUCAGAACUUCCUGUCUUUGACUCCUGGAGACAGACACCACUCAGUAGGUUUCAUGGAGAGGAAUCUGGCAUCUCCCAGCCAUACUUAUGUACAGAGUUUGUGCUGCAGCCUGGAAAAUAGCUGCAACUAUGUCAAGCAAGGAUCAAAAUCCUGAUCUGAAGGAGCUCAAGCUGAAAACACAAAGCGUUAAAAGGAUAGGCAUUUCUUACAGAAAUUACUCCCAUAGGCACCUUCUAGCUUCAAUUUAGACUGAAAAGUAAAAAGGCAUUGAGAGUUUCUUAUAUUUCUCUCUUUUCCAAGUUCAAAAUCCCUUGGAGCAGGAAAAGGGCAAUUAUGACUAUUACUCCAAUUCUAUGCUCCUGUUAGCAAUCAGAUUUGCAUUAGUGGAGAAAAAAAUAAUACUAUCCUAAAUAAAACAUUCUGACUAUGAUUGCUGAGGAGCCAAUCCGAAAAUGGUUAAAUUUAAAUUAUAAGGAGUCUUUUUUGAGGGGGGAGGGGAGUUGAUAGAAAACCUGUUAGAAAGGGAAUCUACACACUACUGAAACCAAACAAACACAAGGGGGCAGGAAGAGCUCAAGCUCUGACUUCAAAACCUGCUGGCUGAAAUGGGAGCUAAACUAGUUUAGUGUGCCCUCCGGAUAUUUAUCAAUUUUCGUGGCAUGCAAAGAAAUGUGAUGCUGACAAGUAGGUUUAGUUUGUGCUUGGUCUAAUUACUGCGAAGAGAACAGGAACGUCUUUAAUGACAGCUACCCUAACAGAGUCGGAUUUGGGAAAGCCUGGGGCCACAUUCCCUAGAAUUUAUUCUUUGGUGCAAGACUAGCGAUUCUGAUCAGACUGCAUUUCUCACGCAUUCCAAAUCCUCUUUUUUCCUUUUACUCUGUGAACCUUGGUUGCAAAGGAGGGGCUUGUUAAAAACUCACCAAUCGGAGGAC
ensembl:lncRNA